GGGAAGUGCUGGGUAGAAGAGGGCGUGGUCCCUGGCUAGGGCUCCACCCCCACGGACCUGGGUGAGGAUAGGCAUUUCCUGUCCAAAUAUUGCAUUGCCCAAUAUCACCCCGGCCUGCCACACCCCCAUCCUGUGCCUAUAAACUGCCCUCAGACCUUAGCAGGCAGGCACACAAGCUGCUGGACCUGCAGAGGAGCCUAUCUGCAAACCCAGACAUCUGGACGUGGAGAGGAGCGAAUUGGUGGAGGAACACACAGGUGGCUGGAUGUUAAGAGAAGCACAUCAGCAGGCCCUGGGAUGCGGGCAGGCCACGGACCAGCAGAAGGAGAGGCUGAGUUUGGCUGGGACAGUCAGAGGAGAGCCCGGGCCAGGGAGCAGCCUGACUCCAAGGAAAAAACCAUCUCCCUUCUGGCUCCCCCGUAUGCUGAGAGCUACUUCCAGUCAAUAAAACUUUGAACUCAUUCUCCAAGACCACGUGUGAUCCGAUUCUUCCAGUACACCAAGAACCUGAAGCAGUGUUAAGGUGUGCUUCCCCUGGAGUUGAACUUUCCAAAUCAAUGUGGCAGCUGAUGGAAGAAAGGCAGUGUCUGAGCUUUAGAAGCCUGAGGAUGUGAAGAAAGCAGAAAACUGUAUACCUGUCCCUGGCACAAUAUCUCAGCCCUCCACAAACUCAGAUGUGAAUCCAGAUCUACAAGUAAAAAUGAAAUGAAGCAGAGCCACCCCAAACUGCAGACAAUAUUUGGUUCUUGUUUGCUUUGUUUUGUGUUUUGUGUUUAGAGACAGGAUCUCAGUCUGUCACCCAGGAUGGAGUAUGGUGAUGCAAACAUGGCUCACUGUAACUUUGAACUCCUGGGCUCAAGUGAUCCUCCUGCCUCAGUCCACGUAGCUGAGGCUACAGGUGAGCACCACCAUGCCUGGCUAAUUUUUUUUUUUUUAAUUUUGCACAGAUAGGGUGCUGCUAUGUUUCCCAGACUAGUCUCAAACUACUGGCUUCAAGUGAUCCUCCUACCUUGUCCUCUCGAAGUUUUGGGAUUAUAGGCGUGAGCCACCAUGCCUGGUCUGCAGCCAAUAUUUAAUAUGAAUGAAAGCUUACUUACCUGUUGUAAGCCAUUGAGAUUUGGGUGUUACUUGUUACUUCAGUCUAAUCCAACUGAUAACAAAAUCAGUACUAAUAGGAAUUUUCCACAUUUGUUUAUUUUGGUUACUCAGUUGUUUUAGGAAUUUAGGAAGAUUUUCUAUGCUACCAUUUUCCCCUAUGAUUACAUUUAAUUUAAUUUAAUUCAAUACUUGAAUUGAAUUGAAUUGAAAGACAUUAUUAAAUUUAGCACAUGCCUGUCAAUCCAUAUACCCCAUGUGCUAUGAGAUAAAUAGAUUACUUUUGAUUUCUGCUUAUAUCUAAUUUCAGUUGGUAUUUUCACUAUUACAUUUUUGAGCACUGUUAGAGAUAAAAUAUUUGAAUCUCAUAUGCCUAUUCUCAGAUGUGACUGAUAAUUACCUCUAGCUAUGUGCCAGUCACAAAGCUUACCAAUCACCAAUCAGCACACAUAACAGAGUCUUUGAGUUUGGUAUCCAUAUGGCUCCUUUAUAGAUUAUAAACCAACUGGUUUAGUAACUUUCACAAAUUUAAAUUACCAGUAAGCUGGACAAUUAAGAUUCUAACCCAAUUUUCUUCUGACUCCAAAUCAAGUGCUUGUUCUGCUACAAUGAUGAGUUUCCUCUAUAUUCCUGUUUCAAAAAUAAGGCUUGCAUGCAUAAUUAACUAAUAAUAUACAUAAUUUAUGCUUUAUAUUAAAUUGUAAAUCUAAAAUAGAUCAUAUUAUAUAAGUGUUGUAUAUCAUCAAACAGAGAAUUGAUCAGCAUUGACCAGAACUGUCAAGCCAACCUGAAGUGAGUUUAAUAAUUCUGAAGGGGGAUGGUGAGGAAAUCAGUCAGUUGGUAGCAGAAAACAUAUUCAUCUGUCUUUGGGGAUCUGGGACUCUGUUUUUACUAUAGAUAAAGUGCACCAGAUAUCAAAUCUUGACAAGUAAGGAGAGACUGAAUAAUGCCAGAUUUUUUGAAUUGGUGACUACCAUCAUUGAGAAGGCUAUGUUACUACUCUGUAAUGGAGAAAGUCAUAUAUGCUGUUUUUCAUAUACAUGUGCGCACACAUUACAGACACACAAUCACAAUACGUAUAUAUGUAUAUACACACACAUAUACACACACACACACAUACACAGACAUAUAAGGUCUUUCUGGAAGGAUUAUUUCCAUUCUUAGUGAAUGCGCAACUGCCUCUGACACCCACAUUUCAGAUAAAGAGGAUCAAGUCACCAGUUGGCAAAAUCUGCACUCCUCAAUUUGUACCCUAAUUAUAUGUAGAUUAAAGAAGCUAAUGCUAUUGGGGGAACCCACCCCCGAUAAUUCAAUGUUUGUUCUUUUCUGUUUCCCUAAGUGUCAGCCGGUCUGAGAAAUAAAGGGAAAGAGUACAAAAGAGAGACAUUUUAAAGCUGGGUGUCCGGGGGAGACAUCACAUGUUGGCAGUUUCCGUGAUGCCCCUCAAGCCGCAAAAACCAGCAAGUUUUUAUUAUGGAUUUCAAAAAGGGAGGGGUGUAUGAAUAGGGUGUGGGUCACAGAGAUCACAUGCUACAAGGGCAAUAAAAUAUCACAAGGCAAAUGGGGGCAGAGCACCGGGGCAAAAUUAAAAUUGCUAAUGAAGUUUCGGACACAUAUUGUCAUUGAUAACAUCUUAUCAGGAGCAGGGUUUGAGAGCAGACAACCGGUCUGACUAAAAUUUACUAGGCAGGAAUUUCCUCCUCCUAAUAGGCCUGGGAGCGCUAUGGGAGACCAGGGCUUAUUUCAUUCCUUAUCUGCAACUGUAUAAGACAGACAUUCCCAAAGGGGCCAUUUCAGAGACCUCCCCCUAGGAACGCAUUCUCUUUCUCAGGGCUGUUCCUUGCUGAGAAAAAGAAUUCAGCGAUAUUUCUCCUAUUUGCUUUUGUAAGAAGAGAAAUAUGGCUCUGUCUUGCCCAGCCCACAGGCAGCCAGACUUUAAGGUUAUCUCCCUUGUUCCCUGAAAAUCGCUGUUAUCCUGUUUUUAAGGUGCCCAGAUUUCAUAUUGUUCAAACACAUAUGCUUUACGAACAAUUUGUGCAGUUAACACAAUCAUCACAGGGUCCGGAGGUGACAUACAUCCUCAGCUUACGAAGAUGAUGGGAUUAAGAGAUUAAAGACAGGCAUAGGAAAUUAUAAGAGUAUUGAUUAGGGAAGUGAUAAAUGUCCAUGAAAUCUUCACAAUUUAUGUUCUUCUGUCAUGGCUUCAGCAGAUCCCUCCGUUUGGGGUCCCUGACUUCCCACAACAAAAUGCCUUUGGGCAUUUAUAUGUUACCACUCUGACUGAAUGUCUUCAUCAUUCUACAUCACUGGCAAACUCCUUCUCAUCUAUUAAAGCUUGUUUUGGGCUACAUUAGGCAAACUCUUUUGUGUAACAACUGUAUUUUCACAAAGCCAUUGGCUUUUUUAAGCAGUUGUUACAUUCUGGUUUCAGAACUCCUUAAGAACUCUUAGUAGGCACUGAAUGAAUAUUUGCUGAAUGAAUGAAAGUUAGAGGAAUAGAAAGAAAGAAGAAUAUUUUAGCUGCUUUGACUUCAAUAGUAAUUCAAUUUGGUAAAGUCACAAACUGAAUUGACUUACAUCUUAUAAGAAUUAAUGAGAUAUCAUUACAAACCAAGUAAAUUCACCAAAAAAAUUUUUAAAAGACAGUAUUAAAUGCUGGUGAAUAAGCAGAGUAGCUGGAAUUCUCACACACUGCUGGUGUGAAGGCCAAAGGGUACAGCCACCUUGGCAUGCAGUUUUACAGUUUCUUCCAAAGUUAAAUGUAGAAUCAUCUCAAGACUGAGUGAACCUAUCCCUAGGAAGUUAUCAAAUAGAAAUUAAAAUACAUUUCCCAAAAGACCUGUACAUAGGUGUUUAUAGCAAUCUUAUUGAAAAUAGCCAAAAACAACCUAAACGACAAUUAGUUGGAAAUAAUUUUGACAUCCAUCUACUGGUGAAUGGAAACCAUAUAAUCUAAUAUUCUCAGGAAUAAAAAAUGGAUGAACUAUUAAUACAUGCAUCAAUAGAGAUGAAUUUCAAAACCUUAUGUUAAGUGAAAGAAAUUAGAAAACACCACAUAUUACAUGAUUUCAUUUAUAUAAUAUUUUAGAAAUGGCAAAAAAAAUCAUUUUGCCAGGGGCCUAUCCUCUGGCGGAGGGAAGGGACUGAUUAAAAAGGGACAGGAAGGAAUUGUUUUGGUAUAUGGGGCUGUUUUCUAUUUUGAUUAUGAUACUGGUAAAUGACUAUAAAUUUGCCCAAAUGAACUGUUUACCUUAACACAGUGAAUAUUACUAUAUGGAAUUUAUUUAUCAAAAAAUCUGAAAAAAGUUUCAAUACGUGAUGUUCUUCUUGCCUCCCUUAAUAAAGUACAAUUUUGUAUGCAUUUAUUAUUUACAUGCACCUUACAAAGCUUGAAUUACCGAAUAUAAAUCAUAAAAUUUUCAGCAAAUUCAAGAAAACGCACAUGUUGAGAUGUGCCAGCAUCUUGCUGUGUUCUUUACCAUGCCCCGAUCCUUUAAACACCAUGAGUUAUAAUUCCUGUUCUACAGAGAGCAGAUCCAAAGAUCAAACCACUUAAAUGCCUCAUAAAAGGCAAGCAUUGGCAAUGGAGCUCCUAAUCAGAUCCACCUGACUCUAUGUCUUCUGUGCUAAUUUCCACUCAUUUCCAUUGCACAUUGGAAAAUGUUCACACUUGUCAUCCUUGUCUCAAAAUUCCAUGUGUGCAAGUCCCUGCCAAACUUUCCAAUAGUCUGCAUUCCACACUUCCCAUGCUCCACCAAGCUCCAGGCAAGCACAACUCUUCCCAGACAAAGGCACUUUCACAUAUUACUUCUAACUCUUGGAAAUCCCUACAUUCUACACUUUCUAUGAAGCUGUUUUCCUUCUUCGGGCCUCAGCCUAAAGGCUGUUCAUCAGAGGUAUCUUCCGGCACCACGUGAUAUGAGGGUAUCUUCUCCCUUCCUAUUAUUUGUGUAUCAUCAUUUUUCCCCAACAAACAAACCUGAUAUGUCUCUUGGGACUUAUUAAAUAUUCAAUCAACACUUUGAAUAAAUGAAUUAAUAAAUUAAUGAAUUCAGAUUAGGCUGCCAGCAUCAGGCACAGAGGGAAAAUCGUUAAAACCUGGUAUAAAAGGAAAGAUCACCCAAAAGGAGAACUUUUGGCUAGCAAAGCUGUAAUCCAAGAUCUGCAUAUAUUAAUGAACAUCAAUAAAUAGCAGUAGGCUUGCUAGAAAGACAGGAGCUGGGAUUAAAUCAAUUAAAAAUGUUGUCUCUAUGUAAAUUAGAAACAUCAACUAAAUCAAACUGCUGAAAAUGGAAGAUGAAAAGAGUAUUAAU
rnacentral:lncRNA from 1 species